UACGUAGGGACCGAGCGUUGUCCGGAAUCAUUGGGCGUAAAGAGCGUGUAGGCGGCCACUUAAGUCCUGCGUGAAAUCUUGCGGCUCAACCGCAAGCGGUCGUGGGAAACUGGGUGGCUAGAGUGCGGGAGAGGAGAGUGGAAUUCCUGGUGUAGCGGUGGAAUGCGCAGAUAUCGGGAGGAACACCGGUGGCGAAGGCGGUUCUCUGGGCCUGUACUGACGCUGAGGAGCGAAAGCGUGGGGAGCGAACAGG
rnacentral:rRNA from 1 species